rnacentral:rRNA from 1 species
UACGUAGGGUGCAAGCGUUAAUCGGAAUUACUGGGCGUAAAGCGUGCGCAGGCGGUUUUGUAAGUCUGUCGUGAAAUCCCCGGGCUUAACCUGGGAACUGCAUUUGUGACUGCACGGCUAGAGUGUGUCAGAGGGGGUAGGAAUUCCACGUGUAGCAGUGAAAAUGCGUAGAUAUGUGGAGGAAUACCGAUGGCGAAGCAGCCCCCUGGGAUAACACUGAACGC